rnacentral:rRNA from 1 species
GAUGAACGCUGGCGGCGUGCCUAUACAUGCAAGUCGAGCGAACGGACGAGAAGCUUGCUUCUCUGAUGUUAGCGGCGGACGGGUGAGUAACACGUGGAUAACCUACCUAUAAGACUGGGAUAACUUCGGGAAACCGGAGCUAAUACCGGAUAAUAUUUUGAACCGCAUGGUUCAAAAGUGAAAGACGGUCUUGCUGUCACUUAUAGAUGGAUCCGCGCUGCAUUAGCUAGUUGGUAAGGUAACGGCUUACCAAGGCAACGAUGCAUAGCCGACCUGAGAGGGUGAUCGGCCACACUGGAACUGAGACACGGUCCAGACUCCUACGGGAGGCAGCAGUAGGGAAUCUUCCGCAAUGGGCGAAAGCCUGACGGAGCAACGCCGCGUGAGUGAUGAAGGUCUUCGGAUCGUAAAACUCUGUUAUUAGGGAAGAACAUAUGUGUAAGUAACUGUGCACAUCUUGACGGUACCUAAUCAGAAAGCCACGGCUAACUACGUG